rnacentral:misc_RNA from 3 species
GGAAUAUGGAGUUGACUGGGUUGUAGCUGGCCUCCCGAGGCAUGUGCACGCCCUGCUCAUCCACUCUACACCUGUGCACUCACUGUGGGCUUCAGAUUGUCGUGAAGCGGGCUCCUUACCGGGCUUGUGAAGCGGUGUCUGUGCCUGCGUUUACUACAAACUAUUAAAGUAUCAGAAUGUGUAUUGCGAUGUAACGCAUCUAUAUACAACUUUCAGCAACGGAUCUCUUGGCUCUCGCAUCGAUGAAGAACGCAGCGAAAUGCGAUAAGUAAUGUGAAUUGCAGAAUUCAGUGAAUCAUCGAAUCUUUGAACGCACCUUGCGCUCCUUGGUAUUCCGAGGAGCAUGCCUGUUUGAGUGUCAUGAAAUCUUCAACCUGCAAGCUUAUGUGGUUUGUAGGCUUGGACUUGGAGGCUUUGUCGGCCAUGCCCGGUCGGCUCCUCUCAAAUGCAUUAGCUUGGUUCCUUGCGGAUCGGCUCUCGGUGUGAUAAUGUCUACGCCGUGACCGUGAAGCGUGUGGCGAGCUUCUAAUCGUCUCGGUUAGAGACAGCUUUAUGACCUCUGACCUCAAAUCAGGUAGGACUACCCGCUGAACUUAAGCAUAUCUAAGCGGGAGGGAAAAGGUAAAUAACCAAGUUUUGACUGGGUUGUAGCUGGCCUCCCGAGGCAUGUGCACGCCCGCUCAUCCCUCUACCCCUGUGCACUCACUGUGGGGCUUCAGAAUUGUCGUGGAAGCGGGGCUCCUUACCCGGGCUUGUGGAAGCGGUUGUCUGGUGCCCGCGUUUUACUACAAACUAUUUAAAGUUAUCAAAAAAGUGGUAUGGCGGAUGUAACGCCACCUAUUUUACAACUUUUCACACGGAAUCUUUGGGGCUCUGCAUCAAUGAAAAGAAAGCACCCAAAAUGCGAAUAAGUUAAUGGUGGAAUUUGCAGAAAAUUCAGUUGAAAUCAUCGAAAUCUUUUGAAAGCCUUGGCCUCCUGGGGUAUUUCCAAGGAAGCAAGCCUGUUUUUGAAGUUGUCAAGGAAAAUCUUUCACUGCCAGCCUUAAUGUUGGGUUUUUGUUAAGGCCUUGGGAACUUUGGGAAGGGCUUUUUGUUCGGGCCAAUUGCCCGGGUGGGCCCCCUCAAAAGGCAAUAAAACCUGGGGUUUCCCCUUGGCGAAAAAAGCCCCCUCGCGCGGGUGGAAAAAAAAUUGCCCUCACCCCCCCGGCCCCCCCGUAAAGAACUCUUUUUUGGGGGGGGAACGUUUUUUUAAAAGCCCUCCCCCCUUUUAAAGGAAAAACGCCCCCUUUUUUUUUUAAACCCUCCUUGACCCCAAAAAGGGGGGGGGGUGGGGGGAACCACCCCCCACAAAAAAAUUUAAAUAACAUUCAAA